CAAUAGGCGUUCUUUGCAGCCAAUGCAGCACUUCGGGAAGAGGCUUGGCCGAGAGAGGAGCUCUGCUUGCGAGUUCCUCUCUCCUUUCAAUUGACUGCGGCGGCGACUGGGCUUUUUUGAGAGGGGGAAUAGGGAAUUCUUUAUUCAGGCAGCUGGGAGGGCGGUGGGCGGCGGCCUUUAUUCGUGCGGGGAAUGGGACGGCGAAGGAGAAAUCGGCCAGCAGGGAGGGCGGGAGGACAGUUGGCGCCGCGGGAAACAUUUGAGAAACUAUCUUCCAUUUGGCCAACAUGGCCACCACUGUCACACAAGCACUUCCAAGUCCCCUGCCAUUCCCUCUCCCUCUCCCUCUCCGCGGACAACCAAUCACAAACCUGGAAAACUCCCCCCCCCCUUACCAGCUAAGGGCGGGAAAAGUGGGUGCAUAAAUAACGGGAGCGCGAGACAGGCUAACAGACUAACGGUCACCGCUAGAGCAGAGCGUAAGGAGAGUAGCAAACGUCGUAUAUUAUUGCCUCCACAUUGACUAAAAAAAUAUAUAUAUAAUUAACUAGAUUAAAUAAAUAAAUAAAUACAAAGGCAGGACACAAAACUCCCUGAGGGGAGUCAGCCGGCUAACCAACAGGGAAGCCCUUUUCUUCUCACAACAGCAGAGACAGUGCCAUCCCUUGCCUAUAGUGGAGAAUUGGAGAAAAUACCACAGAGGGUCAUACAUAAAUAAACUUCAAAGGGGGCACGAAAUAGAACCUAAAAAAAGGAGUGAAAGAGAGAGAGAGGAAAGAAGGAGAGUCCACAUAUAUUGCCCUCAAAGGAGGCAAAAAUCAAAAUCGGGGAAAAAGGGAAAAAAAGAAACAGAGAGAAAAGACAGGAAAGAAGGAGAGUCCACAUAUAUUUGACUUAUAGACACUGCCCUCAAAGGGGGCAAAAAACAAAAUCUGAUAAAAUUUAAAAAGAACAAAAAGACACGUGAAACACUGACUUCGCCUUGGCCAGGAUCCAAGAAAAACAGAUACAAAAGUAUGGGUCAAAAUACAGGGAGCGAGAGUAGGAGAAAACAAUAAGACCAAGAAAACAGAAAGAUGGGAAUUAGAAGAGGUGGAAGAAAGGAAGGAAGAGAAGGAGAGGGAGAAAGCAGACAGGAAGAAAAGAAAACGGAGGAAGAGAGAGAGAAAAGGAAGACAAAGGAAAGACAAAUAUAGAACAAAAUAAAAGGAAAAGAGGGCAAACAAGAGAGGAAAGGAAUAAAGUGAACAACAACAACAGGAAACAAAACAGGCCGAGAGAAUAACAGCCUAACAGUAAAGAAUUGGCACAUAUUGUGCAAAUGGCAUUCUAAGCUGAAGACCCGGUUAUACACAGUGCAAAACAGAUUGGUAACUUUUGUUUAAAUUAGAUUAUAUUUCACACCCCAAAUGAGGCAAUAGAAUGAGGACUUGUAUUUUUUCUGCGACCAAUGAAUGGUGAAAAACUGAAAAUCAGAUGGAAAGAGAAUUAACCAUGAAUUAAGAUGGUUACACUUGCAUAAGUCAUUAAAGCAAAGGCAUCUUAAAAUAGUUAUUGUAAAUAUCACACUCUUGCAGAGGAUAAGAUGGAUGACAUUGCAAUAAAUGUUCCACAAUCACACAGACUAUGUCAAGAAACCAAUUUACUAUGGAUGGAUGGAAUAUAACAAUUGCAUUAUACUGUGCUGUAUGUUUUGAGAAGCCUUUUUAAAAAAACAAAUACAUAAAUGAAUAAAAAUGGUCACUUGAAGUUGAA